rnacentral:rRNA from 1 species
CUACAACGGAGAGUUUGAUCCUGGCUCAGGAUGAACGCUGGCGGCGUGCUUAACACAUGCAAGUCGAACGAACCUUCGGGUUAGUGGCGGACGGGUGAGUAACGCGUGGGAAUCUGCCCUCAGGAGGGGGAUAACGGUUGGAAACGGCCGCUAAUACCCCAUAUGCCGAAAGGUGAAAUGAAUUUCGCCUGAGGAUGAGCCCGCGUCUGAUUAGCUAGUUGGUGUGGUAAUGGCUCACCAAGGCUUCGAUCAGUAGCUGGUCUGAGAGGAUGAUCAGCCACACUGGGACUGAGACACGGCCCAGACUCCUACGGGAGGCAGCAGUGGGGAAUUUUCCGCAAUGGGCGAAAGCCUGACGGAGCAACGCCGCGUGAGGGAUGAAGGCCUCUGGGCUGUAAACCUCUUUUCUCAAGGAAGAAGAUAUGACGGUACUUGAGGAAUAAGCCACGGCUAAUUCCGUGCCAGCAGCCGCGGUAAUACGGGAGUGGCAAGCGUUAUCCGGAAUUAUUGGGCGUAAAGCGUCCGCAGGCGGCCCUUCAAGUCUGCUGUUAAAACGUGGAGCUUAACUCCAUCAUGGCAGUGGAAACUGUUGGGCUUGAGUGUGGUAGGGGCAGAGGGAAUUCCCGGUGUAGCGGUGAAAUGCGUAGAUAUCGGGAAGAACACCAGUGGCGAAGGCGCUCUGCUGGGCCAUAACUGACGCUCAUGGACGAAAGCCAGGGGAGCGAAAGGGAUUAGAUACCCCUGUAGUCCUGGCCGUAAACGAUGAACACUAGGUGUCGGGGGAAUCGACCCCUUCGGUGUCGUAGCUAACGCGUUAAGUGUUCCGCCUGGGGAGUACGCACGCAAGUGUGAAACUCAAAGGAAUUGACGGGGGCCCGCACAAGCGGUGGAGUAUGUGGUUUAAUUCGAUGCAACGCGAAGAACCUUACCAGGGUUUGACAUCCUGCGAACCUUUAAGAAAUUAGAGGGUGCCUUCGGGAACGCAGUGACAGGUGGUGCAUGGCUGUCGUCAGCUCGUGUCGUGAGAUGUUGGGUUAAGUCCCGCAACGAGCGCAACCCACGUUUUUAGUUGCCAGCAUUUAGUUGGGCACUCUAGAAAGACCGCCGGUGAUAAACCGGAGGAAGGUGUGGAUGACGUCAAGUCAUCAUGCCCCUUACAUCCUGGGCUACACACGUACUACAAUGCUACGGACAAAGGGCAGCAAGCUCGCGAGAGCAAGCAAAUCCCAUAAACCGUGGCUCAGUUCAGAUCGUAGGCUGCAACUCGCCUACGUGAAGUAGGAAUCGCUAGUAAUCGCAGGUCAGCAUACUGCGGUGAAUACGUUCCCGGGCCUUGUACACACCGCCCGUCACACCAUGGAAGUUGGCCACGCCCGAAGUCGUUACUCCAACCCUUGUGGAGGAGGACGCCGAAGGUGGGGCUAAUGACUGGGGUGAAGUCGUAACAAGGUAGCCGUACCGGAAGGUGCGGCUGGAUCACCUCCU